AGUGAACGCUGGCGGUAGGCCUAACACAUGCAAGUCGAACGGCAGCACAGUAAGCGCUUGCCCUUACGGGUGGCGAGUGGCGGACGGGUGAGGAAUACAUCGGAAUCUACUUUUUCGUGGGGGAUAACGUAGGGAAACUUACGCUAAUACCGCAUACGACCUACGGGUGAAAGCAGGGGAUCUUCGGACCUUGCGCGACUGAAUGAGCCGAUGUCGGAUUAGCUAGUUGGCGGGGUAAAGGCCCACCAAGGCGACGAUCCGUAGCUGGUCUGAGAGGAUGAUCAGCCACACUGGAACUGAGACACGGUCCAGACUCCUACGGGAGGCAGCAGUGGGGAAUAUUGGGCAAUGGGCGCAAGCCUGAUCCAGCCAUACCGCGUGGGUGAAGAAGGCCUUCGGGUUGUAAAGCCCUGUUGUUGGGAAAGAAAAGCAGCAGGUUAAUCCCCCGCUGUUCUGACGGUACCCAAAGAGUAAGCACCGGCUAACUUCGUG
rnacentral:rRNA from 1 species